rnacentral:tRNA from 1 species
AAGAAGUUAGUUAAAAUAUAACAUUAAUAUGUCAUAUUAAAAAUUAUUAAUAAUUUAAUACCUCUUU